GUAGACCGCUAGACGACCGCCGCGCCGGUGCGGGCAACCGCGCCGGCGGGGAGGAAAGUCCGAACUCCGCAGGGCAGUGCGCCGGGUAACCCCCGGUCAGGGCGACCUGAAGGAAAGUGGCACAGAAAACAUACCGCCCGCCGUCGCACGCGGUGCGUGCUUUGGCGAGGCAGGCCCUUCGGGGCUUGCUACGCCUCGGCCCGUGAGGCGAAGGCGAGUAAGGGUGAAAAGGUGCGGUAAGGGCGCACCGCGUCCGCUGUGAGGCGGAUGGCAGGCUAAACCCCGCACGGAGCAAGACCAAAUAGGGAGGCGCUACAGGACGGCCCGUCCGAAGCCUCCGGGUAGGUCGCUUGAUCCCGCCAGCAAUGGCGGGGCUAGAGGAAUGGUCGUCAGCCCGGCGCGCUCGCUUUCGAGCGAUAGCGUAGGGACACAGAAUUCGGCUUAUGGCGCGUCUGCGACG
rnacentral:RNase_P_RNA from 2 species